rnacentral:rRNA from 1 species
GACGAACGCUGGCGGCGUGCUUAACACAUGCAAGUCGAACGGGAAGGCCCUGCUUGCAGGGUAUUCGAGUGGCGAACGGGUGAGUAACACGUGGGUGAUCUGCCCUGCACUUCGGGAUAAGCCUGGGAAACUGGGUCUAAUACCGGAUAGGAGCCAUUUUUAGUGUGAUGGUUGGAAAGUUUUUUCGGUGUAGGAUGAGCUCGCGGCCUAUCAGCUUGUUGGUGGGGUAAUGGCCUACCAAGGCGGCGACGGGUAGCCGGCCUGAGAGGGUGGACGGCCACAUUGGGACUGAGAUACGGCCCAGACUCCUACGGGAGGCAGCAGUGGGGAAUAUUGCACAAUGGGCGCAAGCCUGAUGCAGCGACGCCGCGUGGGGGAUGACGGCCUUCGGGUUGUAAACUCCUUUCGCUAGGGACGAAGCUUUUUGUGACGGUACCUAGAUAAGAAGCACCGGCUAACUACGUG